rnacentral:rRNA from 1 species
AGUGAACGCUGGCGGUAGGCCUAACACAUGCAAGUCGAACGGCAGCACAGUAAGAGCUUGUUCUUACGGGUGGCGAGUGGCGGACGGGUGAGGAAUACAUCGGAAUCUACUUUUUCGUGGGGGAUAACGUAGGGAAACUUACGCUAAUACCGCAUACGACCUACGGGUGAAAGCAUGGGAUCUUCGGACCUUGCGCGAUUGAAUGAGCCGAUGUCGGAUUAGCUAGUUGGCGGGGUAAAGGCCCACCAAGGCGACGAUCCGUAGCUGGUCUGAAAGGAUGAUCAGCCACACUGGAACUGAUACACGGUCCAGACUCCUACGGGAGGCAGCAGUGGGGAAUAUUGGACGAUGGGCGCAAGCCUGAUCCAGCCAUACCGCGUGGGUGAAGAAGUCCUUCGGGUUGUAAAGCCCUUUUGUUGGGAAAGAAAAGCAGCAGGUUAAUACCCCGCUGCUCUGACGGUACCCAAAGAAUAAGCACCGGCUAACUUCGUG